rnacentral:rRNA from 1 species
UACAGAGGUCUCAAGCGUUGUUCGGAUUCACUGGGCGUAAAGGGUGCGUAGGUGGCGCUGUAAGUCGGGUGUGAAAUUUCGGAGCUUAACUCCGAAACUGCAUUCGAUACUGCGGUGCUUGAGGACUGGAGAGGAGACUGGAAUUCAUGGUGUAGCAGUGAAAUGCGUAGAGAUCAUGAGGAAGACCAGUGGCGAAGGCGGGUCUCUGGACAGUUCCUGACACCGAGGCACGAAGGCCAGGGAGCAAACGGG